rnacentral:rRNA from 1 species
AACGAACGCUGGCGGCAUGCCUAACACAUGCAAGUCGAACGAGACCUUCGGGUCUAGUGGCGCACGGGUGCGUAACGCGUGGGAACCUUCCCUUAGGUUCGGAAUAACUCCUCGAAAGGGGUGCUAAUACCGGAUAAUGUCUUCGGACCAAAGAUUUAUCGCCUUUGGAUGGGCCCGCGUUGGAUUAGCUAGUUGGUAGGGUAAAAGCCUACCAAGGCGACGAUCCAUAGCUGGUCUGAGAGGAUGAUCAGCCACACUGGGACUGAGACACGGUCCAGACUCCUACGGGAGGCAGCAGUGGGGAAUAUUGGAAAAUGGGCGAAAGCCUGAUCCAGCAAUGCCGCGUGAGUGAUGAAGGCCUUAGGGUUGUAAAGCUCUUUUACCCGGGAUGAUAAUGACAGUACCGGGAGAAUAAGCCCCGGCUAACUACGUG